AUUGAACGCUGGCGGUAGGCCUAACACAUGCAAGUCGAACGAGUGGCGGACGGGUGAGUAAUGUCUGGGAAACUGCCUGAUGGUGGGGGUUAACUACUGGAAACGGUAGCUAAUACCGCAUACCAUCGGAUGUGCCCAGAUGGGAUUGGCUAGUAGGUGGGGUAACGGCUCACGUAGGCGACGAUGCCUAGAUGGUCUGAGAGGAUGACCAGCCACACUGGAACUGAGACACAGUCAAGACUCCUACGGGAGGCAGCAGUGGGGAAGAGGGCACAAUGGGCGAAAGCGUGAUGCAGCCAUGCCGCGGGGAUGAAGAAGGCCUUAGGGUUGUAAAGUGCUUUCAGCGGGGAGGGGUUACCCGCAGAAGAAGCACCGGCUAACUCCGUGCCAGCAGCCGCGGUAAUAC
rnacentral:rRNA from 1 species